UCUUAUAUAGUUCAGUUGGUAGAGCGUCAGACUAUAAAUCGAAAGUUCCUAGGUUCGAUCCCGGUUCCGGCA
rnacentral:tRNA from 1 species